AGAAGUGUGGUGUAGUGGCUUGAAUAUUGGACUAUGACUCUGGAAACCAGGGUUCAAUUCCCAGCUUGGCCA